UUGGAGGGCAAGUCUGGUGCCAGCAGCCGCGGUAAUUCCAGCUCCAAUAGCGUAUAUUAAAGUUGCUGCAGUUAAAAAGCUCGUAGUUGAAUUUCGGGACCAUCAUGUCGGUCGUGCCUCGGUACGUACUGGUAUUGUUGGUUUCUCCCUUCUGACGAACCAUGAUGUCAUUUAUUUGGUGUUGUGGGGAAUCAGGACUGUUACUUUGAAAAAAUUAGAGUGUUUAAAGCAGGCUCACGCUUGAAUACAUUAGCAUGGAAUAAUGAAAUAGGACGUUUGAUUCUAUUUUGUUGGUUUCUAGGAUCGACGUAAUGAUUAAUAGGGAUAGUUGGGGGCAUUAGUAUUCAAUUGUCAGAGGUGAAAUUCUUGGAUUUAUUGAAGACUAACUACUGCGAAAGCAUUUGCCAAGGAUGUUUUCAUUAAUCAAGAACGAAAGUUAGGGGAUCGAAGACGAUCAGAUACCGUCGUAGUCUUAACCAUAAACUAUGCCGACUAGGGAUCGGAUGAUGUUAAUUUUUUAAUGACUCGUUCGGCGCCUUACGGGAAAC
rnacentral:rRNA from 1 species